GAUCCUUACCAGGCAAGCUUAGA
rnacentral:miRNA from 1 species